UACAGAGGGGGCAAGCGUUAUUCGGAAUUAUUGGGCGUAAAGAGCGUGUAGGCGGCCAGGUAGGUCCGCUGUGAAAACUCGAGGCUCAACCUCGAGAUGUCGGCGGAAACCACUUGGCUAGAGUCCGGAAGAGGAGAGUGGGAAUUCCUGGUGUAGCGGUGAAAUGCGCAGAGUAUCAGGAAGAACACCUAUGGCGAAGGCAGCUCUCGUGGGACGGUACUGACGCUGAGA
rnacentral:rRNA from 1 species